ACAGACCAUUUGGAGAUGUUCCUCAUGUCCUCUUUUAGUUUUAAUCCAUUGUUCUUUUGAGUUUUUCUACUGAAUCUACAUUCCCCACCUUUUCAUGCAGCACAUUCCAGUCACAACUCACCAUGUUUUAAAAAAACAGUAUAAUCACUUCCUUUUCAUCUUUUGCUGGUCACUUCAAAUCUGUAUCUUCAGAUUACCAACCUUUCCACCAGCAAAAACAGUCUAGGAUUGGACUAUUGAGUCUCUUGAGCCUCUUCCUGAACUUCUGUUAAAACGAUCAUGACUUUGAACUCUGUCAGUCUCAUCCUAGCUCUUUCUCUGUUCUAAGAAGUACAACUCUUCUGCAGUCUUUCCACAUUUGUUAAACCUGUUAUUAAUAAAAAUGCAAGUUGUUGUUAUGUUGUUACGUUUCCUGAUAACAGGAAACCUUGCAUUAAAAACUCCACUUCGUAACAAGUCAAUAGUUCUAUCAGAGUCUGCAGUUUGAAGCUCUCUGACGAGACUCCCAGACAAGACAAGUCAAACAUCUGGCACAGAAAGCAGAUCAUAAACAGACUAACUCAGGCACCACAGCUCAGGACUGCAAGGAUUCAAAGGCUGUCGUCAAGGAGCCUGUAGCACCCACGGCUGCCAAUGCAUCCUUAUAAACCUGUCAACACGCGAUAGGGUGUAUAUGUAUGAGGAAAUGACCAAUACCAUUAUAUGAAUUUAUGUGAAGACAACACUAACAGAUUGCAAGUGAAAAAAAUAAUGCAUGGUGCAGUUAAUGUGCAAGGGAAAUGAGCAGACUGUAUUGAUUCCCCUUUGCAAUGAAAAAUAAAUACUUGUGUCGGUUACCUGUUAGCAGUAGAUUUGCUCUCAUGCUCUGAGCUCAUAUAUCAAUUUUUAGUGGAAAGUGAUUUUUUUAAAAAGUUGAUAAGAUAAAUAUACUUCAGCACCAUUGGCUAUAAAUACUUCACCAUUGUUUCAGCAACAACCAAUUUUUCUUACUGUAGCUUUAGUUUCAGCUUUUUAUGAUGCUUGAGUAAAGUUAACCAAUGGCAGUGCCGUGAGAGUUGUAGUUGUUGUCUUCAUAUAUAGUCAUCCAGCUUAUCUUUUUAUGCUGAUAUAAGCAUUUGUCAUACUAUAUGCAUAUAUAUGAUAAAGAUACAGACUGCUACUCAAGAGUUGUAUGCAAAGGCAAAACCUGAAUCAUAAAGAAAAAUGCUUAUUGAUACAUGAACUGAUGUUAGCACUGAUCAGUAGAGGUUAUAAGAUUAUACUCCAGGAAAGCAGUUAUGGUGUUUGAUUUUCAUUACCAUCAGAGGUUUAAGGUGUCUUACCUAGUAGUAACAUUUUGUAUCCUUUGCUCAUCUGUUCUGUGAAGCACAUCUACACCCAUUCUGUGUGUUGUACAACCCACCGUGUGCAUCAACUGAGUGUUUUUAAUAACUGCAUUCAGACCUGGAUAAAUAAGGUAAUCUUACCAGAAAGGUCCAGGUCUACAGAAAAGAAUAUCGCAGUGAUAUAUUUAAAAUAUGUGGUUAUGGGUAAUCUAUGAUAAUUGGGCAGAAGGUGUCAAUCUUGGUUGAAUUUUAUACGGAUUACGUAGUUUUGAAUUAAUGAUUGGUCAAAUGCAGUAAAACCACAUCAGUUCAUGUGUAA